rnacentral:rRNA from 1 species
UACGUAGGGGGCAAGCGUUGUCCGGAAUUAUUGGGCGUAAAGAGCGCGUAGGCGGUCCGGUAAGUCGGCUGUGAAAGUCAAGGGCUCAACCCUUGAAAGCCGGCCGAUACUGUCGGACUAGAGUCCGGAAGAGGCGAGUGGAAUUCCCGGUGUAGCGGUGAAAUGCGCAGAUAUCGGGAGGAACACCAAUGGCGAAGGCAGCUCGCUGGGACGGUACUGACGCUGAGGCGCGAAAGCUAGGGGGAGCAAACAGG